CAGCAGCCGCGGUAAUCCGAAGGGGGCUAGCGUUGCUCGGAAUGACUGGGCGUAAAGGGCGCGUAGGCGGAUUGAUCAGUCAGACGUGAAAUUCCUGGGCUCAACCUGGGGGCUGCGUUUGAGACGGUUGAUCUAGAGUUUGGAAGAGGGUCGUGGAAUUCCCAGUGUAGAGGUGAAAUUCGUAGAUAUUGGGAAGAACACCGGUGGCGAAGGCGGCGACCUGGCCCUUGACUGACGCUGAGGCGCGAAAGCGUGGGGAGCAAACAGGAUUAGAUACCCGCGUAGUCCCUGUCUCUUAUAC
rnacentral:rRNA from 1 species